rnacentral:tRNA from 1 species
AAGGCCUUAAGUUAAACUAAACUAAUAACCUUCAAAGCUAUAAAUAAAGGACGCUCGACCUUUAGGCCUUG